GCAUUGCUGAUGAGUCCCACAAUAGGACGAAAUGGCCGUCUAGUGC
rnacentral:hammerhead_ribozyme from 1 species